CACGUAGGGCGCGAGCGUUGUCCGGAAUUAUUGGGCGUAAAGAGCUCGUAGGCGGCCUGUUGCGUCCGCUGUGAAAGCCCGGGGCUUAACCCCGGGUCGGCAGUGGAUACGGGCAGGCUAGAGGUAGGUAGGGGAGAAUGGAAUUCCCGGUGUAGCGGUGAAAUGCGCAGAUAUCGGGAGGAACACCGGUGGCGAAGGCGGCAUCCUGGACCAACACUGACGCUGAGGAGCGAAAGCCAGGGGAGCAAACGGG
rnacentral:rRNA from 1 species